rnacentral:rRNA from 1 species
UAACGCUGGCCCCGUGCUUAACACAUGCAAAGCGAACGGUUCAGUAGCCAGUAGCCCGUAGUCAGUAGUCAGAUUCAAGAAGGAAUUCGCAAAGCGAAUUCCAACAAGCAAUCUGACAACCGAUUACCGACUACUGACUACCGAAUAGUGGCGGACGGGUGAGUAACGCGUGGAUAACCUGCCUGACUGACCGGGACAACUCCGGGAAACUGGUGCUAAUACCGGAUACGCUCUUGGGGGCACAUGCUUUUGAGAGGGAAGGAGGGAUCCGCAGACAGAUAAGUCCGCGUCCCAUUAGCUAGUUGGGGGUGUAAGAGACCACCAAGGCGACGAUGGGUAGCCGGCCUGAGAGGGUGGACGGCCACACUGGAACUGAGACAAAGUCCAGACUCCUACGGGAGGCAGCAGUGGGGAAUCUUCCGCAAUGGGCCAAAGCCUGACGGAGCAACGCCGCGUGAGUGAAGAAGGCCUUCGGGUCGUUUUACUCUGUCUUCAGGGAAGAAGGAAAU